AUGUUCAAAUGGAGGCCUGCAACUAGGCAUGUUUGUAGUAUCUGCCUGGCUUGGACCUGGCCUUGCAGAAGCCCACAUCUGAGGAGUCAGUCCCCCUACAACUGCUGUGCUGCUGGAGAACAGAGAAUGACAUACUCAGUGGCAGAUUAUUUCCUAGUAAAGGUUCUGGUGAUCAAGUGGACUCAAUUAGAAAAAUAUCCUCAGACUACCACAGCAGAGCUGUUUUCCUCCAGAGCACCCAGUGCAGGUUGCCACCAGCACCAUCCUCAAAACCAGUUACUGUUUUUAGGAGCCAGUCCACAGCAUCUGAUCAUGACCCUCUGCAUGUGUAAGCACUUACCUGAGGUGAGCCUGGUCAGGUGGCAGAGGCUUGUGCUGGGCUGA
rnacentral:lncRNA from 1 species